GAAAUGCGAUAAGUAAUGUGAAUUGCAGAAUUCAGUGAAUCAUCGAAUCUUUGAACGCACCUUGCGCUCCUUGGUAUUCCUUGGAGCAUGCCUGUUUGAGUAUCAUGAAAUCUUCAAAGUAAAUCUUUUGUUAACUCAAUUGGUUUCUACUUUGGUAUUGGAGGUCUUUGCAGCUUCACACCUGCUCCUCUUUGUUCAUUAGCUGGAUCUCAGUGUUAUGCUUGGUUCCACUCGGCGUGAUAAGUUAUCUAUCGCUGAGGACACUGUAAAAGGUGGCCAAGGUAAAUGCAGAUGAACCUCUUCUAAUAGUCCAUUGACUUGGACAAUACUUUUAUGAUCUGAUCUCAAAUCAGGUAGGACUACCCGCUGACCUUAAGC
rnacentral:misc_RNA from 1 species